CUACCAUCGUAACUUGACUAACUACUAUUUCUGCUACUGUUCCCGGCACUGCUACUGGAACCAUUUGGAGAUGCUUUUUGAGGACAACAACUACUUGGGCGAAAGGAACUAUGAUCUUUUUCUCGUUCAAUAUGAUGCUGUCACGUUGGAGAAGUAACAUUUCUAAUGCAAGGAAUUAGUUGAGAUUCUGUUCUUUCAUGUGAUGAAUCCCAUGAUUGGUCAGUUGAUCUUCGUCUAUCUCUUGAUCAUUCAUGUCCCCUACAAGCACCAUGUAGAUUCAUUUUGUUGUGGUUAACAGCUCCUUUAGCAACACGUGAGGGAGUGCUUGAAUGUUUAUAAAGUUUACAAAGUCUACUAUGCAAUUUCCUAUCCCAAUUCUCUGGAUCACUGGAGUUACUGUCAUAAAGAUGAGGUCGUCCUGCCAUCCGACUUCAAGCUUCCUCACACUACUGCUCUGAAAGCAGACAUGUAGCACCCAUAACCUGAAUACUCACAUUUAAUUCUGUAUAAACUACAUGAGGCCCUCCCGAAAAGCCUACAGGAAGGAGGAAUUUCUGCAGGGUCAGAAUCUUGAGGGAUUUCAUGAGUCUCUCUCCUUAAGGAAAAAAAGAGAUUGUACCACCCUGUAAAGCCUGUUGAAUGUCCACCGAAGAUUUAUGCAGCGGCCAGUGCCAGUGACACCUC